CAAUAUACUACACCGACACAGUUAGCUGGUAAUAUGGUUUAGUAUGCCACCAAUACUGUACUGGCCAGUAUCCAUAUUACUGUGCAGUGAAUCACCCAAGAAACUAAUAAAUAUUGCAUUAAUAAGAUUAGCCAAGAUGAUUGUGAUUGUGAUGUUAGUACUCAGUUUGGUUGUUUGUGUAGGAUCCUUAAAUUCAAUGAGGAGAACUGAACUGGAUUGCGGCUGCUUCUUCCACGUUGAACGGAUCGCGAACUGCUCGAAUCAAAGAAGCAUUGACUUUAAGUGCUUGAGGAUGAGAGCCCCAACAGAGAUAUGGCUGAAGUGGAAUAAUUAUAGUGCUGUUCCAGAGGAACUAUUACACGAUUUCAAUAGCACUAGAAAAAUUGACUUAUCAAACAAUAAUAUACAAGUUUUGCCUGUUGGCAUUUCGGAAUCCCUACCACAGUUAUGGCACUUGGUUCUAGACUACAACAACUUCUCUGACCCAAACGAGCUGCUGCGGAUAAAUAUACGAGGCAGGGCGUCGAUGCAUUAUAAUCCACUUAUUUGCAAUUGCAGCGAUCCCAACUAUAAGCAAAUCCUGAGUCGUGCAAACAACUUAAAAACGACCUUGGUGUGUGUAAACAAUCCAGAUGGGAAGCCCAAAUCGUUUCUGGACAUUUGCCACCAAUCCAACAGUUAUGGUUAUCAAGUACAAGGUGACCAGCGUAUAUGGUGGCCCUUAAUUACAAUCGUGAUAUAUAUUAUAGUCAAUGUCAUCAUUUGCCGUCGAGUGGACUGAAUCAUCAAAUUGUAAUUUUGAAUAAGUAAUAAAGUAUUCCUGCGCCAAUAAAAA